rnacentral:lncRNA from 1 species
GCAACUUCGAAAGGCGAUGUUGGAAAAAGACGGAUUUUUAAUUAAAUGAAGCCAAGUGGGAUUUGCAUAAAGUGAAUGUUUACCAUGAAGAUAAACUGUUCCUGACUUUAUACUAUUUUGAAUUCAUUCAUUUCAUUGUGAUCAGCUAGCUUAUUCUUGUGUACUUUUUUUAAACUGUGGGUUUUCCUAGUAAAUUUAAUUUACAGAAAUCAAUGGUAGCAUUUAGUAAUCUACAAAGGAAAUAUCAAA